UCUGACAUUCAUGAUGCGCUUAGUAUGCUACUGGUUAUGUUAAGAUCACCCUACACUGCUUAUGCCAUGAUCAUAGUUUCAAUUUCUUGGAUUAAAAUAUGCCGAAUAAUGACUAUAUUUCCAACACCUUUCUGGAUACUGGGGGUCCCAUUCCUCUGGAUUCGAAAAUAGUGUAUUAAGAGAAGAAGAGCAGGAUGAAUUAGAAUGCAUGCCCACAAGAUAUUAAGGGGAAGUUUGGGAGGGGGGACCCACUGACAAACAUAGGAAAAUUUCAAUUCUCAUACAGGUUUACAUAUCACGUGCUCUACUUGAUAACUCCUCUUUGCACUCUAAUGCUCAAAGCAUUAGUCGAAGCUUGGAUCAUGUUAUGAGGACAUUAUUUGAGAUUUGUCUGCGUCAAAGGUGGUCUGAGAUGACAUCCUUAUUAUUAGAGUACUGCAAGGGUGUUGACCACAAAAUAUGGGCAGUUUGUAAUGGACCUUCCUAAUGAGGUUUUUCAUCAGUUACCGCUUGCCAUUUACAUUUUUAUGUGUUUGCUAUUUUUUUAUGUGUUCUCUGAAUUAGAUAUGUAAAAUAGUAGACUUGAGGAUGAAAAUAUCUAUCUGGAUCGUCUUUAUGGGAUAGAAGAAAAUGAUAUCGGAGCUCUGAUUCACUCUUCUCAUCCAGGAAAGGUCUUUCCAUAUGUCAACUUAUCUUCUUGUGUGAGCCCAAUCACCAGGACUGUUCUUAAAGUAAGGGCUUUUGGAAGCCAUCUGCAGCCUUUUUUGCUGAGAAAGGUGAACUCCCAAAGAGAUUUGGUUUAGAUCAGCUACACUGGGAAUCCUCCUGCAGGAUAUUGCACAGCGGUUCCUCUCUUGGUCAUACUCCCUGUGCUAGAGAGUUAAGUAUACAGGAUCUGCGUGGGAUGACUCAAGCACAUAUGCCAGGCUGUUGGUUUCUUGGUCAUUUAUAAAACAUUCAGGAUUUCAUACAUGGAAACGAUAAAUGAUCUGCUCACAGUAAGUACCUAUAAGCUAACUUCGCACCGUCUCGUGCGAGUCGUUCAAAAAAAAUGAAAUGCUUAUACGUACUCAAGGCUAAACCAAACAUUAGUGUAAAUAUUAGACUUUUACAGAGUAGUACACUGGGUGUAAAAGAUGAUAGGUUUAGUAAUUAUUGGCAAGUUGUUGGAAUUAACAGUGUUCUUAAUGCAGACCAUUUCAAAUUGUAGUGCUAGAACUGUGCAAGCUGUAUGCACAUUCAAAGGGAAUAGCGCCCUAGCCCAACAUAAUAUCUUCUCUGUUUUUAAAGAAAAUAGUGCAGUUUGUGGGUAUACAUUAUUAGUUACUUUUUCAAUCUAUUGCAAAUCCUGAUUUUUACUCAACAGCUAGACAUUCUGACCAAAUGGCUGUUCUUCUAUAUGAUUGUUUGAUUCUAUUUUCAUAGAUUUUCAUUUUUACAAUAAGUGGUUACUGUUUUUAAUCAUAUAUCUUUCCUGCUUGCCUUGGUCAUAGCACAGGCAUAUACAUGAUACAUUUGUAUGAUCAUACAUUCAAAUUUUGUCAUGCAUAGAGCACAUAAGACGGGGAAAGCAACAUGUACAUUCUUUACAAUCCUGCACCAGAGAAGUUUGACGAUGAAGUUUUUCAUUAACUAAUCGACAUGAUAUUUUGUAAUUCAACAUGAAUCAUCUGUGACUUUAUACAUGUGUGAAGUGUGCUACCAGUAUUUCGACAUGGAAGAUCAUAACCGAAGAUUUUACGGGGGGCAGAGGGGACGAGGUGGUGGAUGACGAUGGCGAGCUCAGAGGCCACGGUGAUGGCCAAGGAUCGUUUUGCUGUCCGGGGAGUACUAGGCUUAGGAGAUUGCAACUAUGGUGUCCAUGUGGAAGUGCCAGCAACGACGAGGCAGAGCUCGAUGAUGGCGUUGACGGUAGCGAACUCACCGUGCAGCCCGGCAGUCCACCACCACCGUUGGUUGCUGCUAGCGCUGUGUGUGUUUGUAUGUAUUCCUCUACGUCGCAAUGAAGCCUAUGGCGAUGGGCGUUGUGGCAUACAACGUGUACACAAGGUGUACGGUGCUAUGAAGCUAUGAAGGUGGCGAUCUUGGGCAGGAGGCACAAAGGCAGGAGACGCCACCAGUAAACAUGUGUGGACUUAUUAGCUAGCGUACUUCCUCGGAAUAAGUCCGCUUAACAUUCGUCAUCUUUACGUGGAAUUUAGUUGAAAUCCCUAAACCGCAAAACCAAAUAUCUUCACCUUCCAUCGUAGCAAAACCGUCUUAGUCGGGUCCCAUCAUAGUAUGGAUGGUUGUUUUAACUUAUGUGCAUCCUAGCCAAUAGAAAGAAAAUAAAAAACAUUUGAGAUCCAUAUAUGUUAGGAGAUCUCUAUUUCCUUUGAUCGCCCUCUCUCAUCUAUUCCCAUCUCUCCCACUUCUUCCUUCUUUCCCCAUCCCUCUUUAGGGCGACGACCAGUGUUGACAUGGGGAGUGGCGGUGGCGGGAGAGAGGAGACAAGACAAUGGUGGGGGCUAGACACAUGGAGGUCACACCAAUGACCUCAUCGUGGAGGUCACACCCUAGCAUGACACAUACAAAAAGGAAAUGGAAAGCUAGAAGAUUGCUUCGUCACCGUACAAGGGCGGAAGGGAUAAUCAAAAUUGGUCCGUGCUGCCUGUUGUCAGUUGUCACACCAUUUAUGCCUCUGCGGAUCAUAACAACCAUCUGCUACAACUGUUGUCCGUCAUCAUCUAAAUCCCCUUAUGCUGUCGCCCGUAUUUUGAACGCUCCUAGUGCACCGCGAAGCCACUUUGCAGCGCUACCAUUCAAACUCAAUCCCCUUAUGCUGUCGCCGUAUUUUGAACGCUCCCAGUGCACCGCGAAGCCGCUUUGCAGCGCUACCAUUGUCUUGCGCAGAUCGUCAAACUCGUCGUCGCUCCUAGAGUGUUGCUGCAACUGCCUUUAUUGCCAUGAGAUCGUUGGAGAUGCUCCACUGUCAUCCACACCUCUUAGCAAUCAGAUUUGGUGUCGACGCUCGCUUGGCAAGUGAUGCCUCUAGGACACUGCCACCAGCCUCAUCUGCAUUAGGCGAGCUGACAACAAUCACACCGUCAGCCGACCCUGUCACCAAUGACCACCGUCCCCUGUUCUCGCCUGGCGCCGAUGAAGGGGCGGAGCCAGCCAGUGUACCUUGCUCCAAUCCUCCAAAUCUUAACCAAGCCAGUGGGAGACAGGUAAAAUACCACCUGUUUUCAGCUUUCCUACAGUUUCAUCAAUGAACGUAGGAUGGUCUGGUACUGGCACUCUGGUGAUGAAUUAACCAAGCACAUGGCUGAAUAGACCACUGAUGACUUGGAUAAAAGCACGACACACCUCAAGUUACACAAGUCUGUUAUUAAUAACUCCAAAUAAAUUAAUGGAGGCACAGACCUAAAUAAUGGACACCACACCACUAAUAACUCAAAACGUAAAGCACGACACAUCUCAAGUUACACAAGUCUGUUAUUAAUAAAUUAACCAAGGCACAUACCUAAACAAUGGACACAACAAAUAACUUAAAACAUAAAGGACAACACACCUUAAGUUACAAAAUUAAAUACUGGGUAAUAAUGAUCCGACAUCCAAGUUACCAACCAUGGCAACGGCUGCAAGGCUCCCGGACAUUGAACUUGACUGUAGAGGGAAUUUUCCCCUCGAUGUAUGUUCGGAUAGCCAAGAGCGAAUUAUGCACUCCCUUGAUAACAUCCUGAUCCAAUGGGAGGCAGACAUCGAUGUUGCCGUCAGAACACCGAAGUUGAGUGCAAAGAGUGUCCAAUGUAAGGCACUCAAGGGACGUUGUAUUUUCCAUAA